GGCUGGAUAGCAUAAUGGUGAUGUGUUAGACUGCAAAUCUAAUAAUGGCGGUUCGAUUCCGCCUCUAGCCU
rnacentral:tRNA from 1 species